rnacentral:lncRNA from 1 species
AUCAUUUUAAAUCAAAUGUACAUUGGGAAUUCUAGUACAAGUUAAUGAAGUACUCAUUUUUUUCUUGUAACAUGUUCGGUAUAGGGAGUUCUUCUUGCCAGACUCUUAAUCCGUUUUCGAGGAGCAGCUUUCAUCCAGUCAUACAUCGUGGUUUGUUUCAUUUCAAUACCAUCAUCAACCAUCGGGGUUUGGUGAUCAUCUUGAACUGGUGUGCUUCGCAAAUGACCUUCACUUCCAAAAAAUGGUUGUUCGACAAAAUCUUCACUCUUAUCUUCAUUGUUGGCCUCAACCGACUUCUUUAAUUUGUCAAUACUAGUUCGCAUGUCGGCAACAACUCUUGUUUGUUCAUCUACAAUAGAAAAUAAUUUCUCCGUUUCUCCUAUAUUUUGCUUGUAAUAUGGAAAACCAUGUUUUUGCACAGCGUCUUUGACCACCCCAUAAUUAAGCUCCUCUUUGGACACACCAACAUCAACAACAACCUACAAUGUCAUUAACAAAUUUCGUUUAAUAAAACAUCAAAUAUUAAAUACAUUGCAUCAACACACUCCUCUAAUGAACGACUACUCAC